AUUUAUAUAAUAUAUUUAGUAUAUUUGACUUCCAAUCAAAAAGUUUAAAAUAAUUUUAAUAUAAAUA
rnacentral:tRNA from 1 species